rnacentral:lncRNA from 1 species
AGCACAGAUGAAGCCCCGGUCCAACCUGGGCAUUCCUGCAGCCAUGUGCAGUGACCCUUGUGUAUGUGAGUACCUGUCAUGUGCCCACGUAUCCUGGUGGCACAAAAGGUACUUCAUGUAGAUUGUCAGGACCAAGACACAGAACGUUCUUGGGGCACACCACAAUAAUUCCCCCACUAGCAUUCACCUUAAGAUGAAAGAAGUAAGUAAAACCCUUCUCAGAUCUCAGGGAGGACCCUGCAGAUGGAUCCCUGAAAACUUAAGGCCAAGGCCAUUCAUGCCCAUUAUUGGGUUCGUCCAGACCUUAGCAUUAAUCCUGGCCUUGGUGAAUAAGAAGUGAAAGAACCAUUGUGGGGCAUGAGAGAACCACACCAGACAGAGUUUCAGGGCAAUGAGUCCCUGGGGAGAACCUGGAACAGAACUUCGAAUACCUAGUCUGCCACAGAUUUUUUCCUGAGAACUUGCCUUUCAUUAUUUCUAUUUAAUACCUGCUGUUCAAUGUUUAGAUUCACUCUCUUUGUGAUCCCAAUGCCUCUUCAAAUGUUUCCAGUUUUUUUCUAGUUGAUGUGGAUUCCCCAGAUUUAUCUCAUUUCAUGAUGUCUUCGGAAUUGCAUGUUGUGCCACCAUCACACUUCACACUCUCAUUAUUGCUCCUCUUUAUUGUAAAC